rnacentral:rRNA from 1 species
CAUUUGGUGGAUGCCUUGGCAUGCACAGGCGAAGAAGGACGUGAUACGCUGCGAUAAGCCGUGGGGAGCUGCGAAUAAGCUUUGAUCCAUGGAUCUCCGAAUGGGGCAACCCACCUUAAAUGCUUGGAGAAUCCAAGCUGUUCAGCGAUGGACGGCUUGGGUUUCCAAGCAUUGAUAUAAGGUAUCUGCAUCUGAAUACAUAGGGGUAAGAAGCGAACGCAGGGAACUGAAACAUCUAAGUACCUGCAGGAAAGGACAUCAACCGAGACUCCGUAAGUAGUGGCGAGCGAACGCGGACCAGGCCAGUGGCAAUGCUGAAUAAAGUGGAACGAUCUGGAAAGUUCGGCCGUAGCGGGUGAUAGCCCCGUAGACGUAGAACAGGCAUUGUCCUUGAGUAGGGCGGGGCACGUGAAAUCCUGUCUGAACAUGGGGAGACCACUCUCCAAGCCUAAGUACUCGUGCAUGACCGAUAGCGAACAAGUACCGUGAGGGAAAGGUGAAAAGCACCCCGACGAGGGGAGUGAAAUAGAACCUGAAACCGGAUGCCUACAAGCAGUCGGAGCCCGCAAGGGUGACGGCGUACCUUUUGUAUAAUGGGUCAACGACUUAGUGUAACGAGCAAGCUUAAGCCGGUAGGUGUAGGCGUAGCGAAAGCGAGUCUGAAUAGGGCGUUCAGUUCGUUGCAUUAGACCCGAAACCGAGUGAUCUAGCCAUGAGCAGGCUGAAGGUUGGGUAACACCAACUGGAGGGCCGAACCCAUAACUGUUGCAAUAGUUCGGGAUGACUUGUGGCUAGGGGUGAAAGGCCAAUCAAACUCGGAAAUAGCUUGUUCUCCGCGAAAUCUAUUUAGGUAGAGCGUCGACCGAAUACCCUCGGGGGUAGAGCACUGGAUGGGCUAUGGGGACUCACCGUCUUACUGAUCCUAACCAAACUCCGAAUACCGAGGAGUACUAGUCGGCAGACACACGGCGGGUGCUAACGUCCGUCGUGAAGAGGGCAACAACCCUAACCUCCAGCUNAGGUCCCCAAGUCAUGGCUAAGUGGGAAAGGAUGUGAGGAUCCCAAAACAACCAGGAUGUUGGCUUAGAAGCAGCCAUCAUUUAAAGAAAGCGUAACAGCUCACUGGUCUAAAUAAGGUCUUUGCGCCGAAAAUGUAACGGGGCUAAGCCAUGCACCGAAGCUGAGGAUACAACGUAAGUUGUGUGGUAGCGGAGCGUUCCGUAAGUCUGUGAAGGCGGACCCGUGAGGGCUGCUGGAGAUAUCGGAAGUGCGAAUGUUGACAUGAGUAACGAUAAAGGGAGUGAGAGACUCCCUCGCCGAAAGACCAAGGGUUCCUGCUUAAAGUUAAUCUGAGCAGGGUUAGCCGGCCCCUAAGACGAGGCGGACACGCGUAGUCGAUGGGAACCACGUUAAUAUUCGUGGGCCUGGUGGUAGUGACGGAUCUUGUGUGUUGUUCAACCUUAUUGGAUUGGUUGGGCGGCGAAGAGGUUCCAGGAAAUAGCUCCACCGUAUAGACCGUACCCGAAACCGACACAGGUGGUCAGGUAGAGUAUACCAAGGCGCUUGAGAGAACUAUGUUGAAGGAACUCGGCAAAUUGCACGCGUAACUUCGGAAGAAGCGUGACCCUUUUGCACGCAAGUGUGAUGGGGUGGCACAGACCAGGGGGUAGCGACUGUUUAUCAAAAACACAGGGCUCUGCGAAGUAGCAAUACGACGUAUAGGGUCUGACGCCUGCCCGGUGCUGGAAGGUUAAAGGGAGAGGUGCAAGCUUUGAACUGAAGCCCCAGUAAACGGCGGCCGUAACNNNNNNNNNNNNNNNNNNNNNNNNNNNNNNNNNNNNNNNNNNNNNNNNNNNNNNNNNNNNNNNNNNNNNNNNNNNNNNNNNNNNNNNNNNNNNNNNNNNNUGCACCUUUACUAUAGCUUUACACUGGCAUUCGCCAAGGCAUGUGUAGGAUAGGUGGUAGGCUUUGAAGCAGGGACGCCAGUUCCUGUGGAGCCAUCCUUGAAAUACCACCCUUAUCUUCGUGGAUGUCUAACCGCGGUCCGUUAUCCGGAUCCGGGACAGUGUAUGGUGGGUAGUGUGACUGGGGCGGUCGCCUCCGAAAGAGUAACGGAGGCGCGCGAUGGUUAGCUCAGACCGGUCGGAAAUCGGUCGUCGAGUGCAAUGGCAUAAGCUAGCCUGACUGCGAGACUGACAAGUCGAGCAGAGACGAAAGUCGGUCAUAGUGAUCCGGUGGUCCCGUGUGGAAGGGCCAUCGCUCAACGGAUAAAAGGUACGCCGGGGAUAACAGGCUGAUGACCCCCAAGAGUCCAUAUCGACGGGGUUGUUUGGCACCUCGAUGUCGACUCAUCGCAUCCUGGGGCUGGAGCAGGUCCCAAGGGUAUGGCUGUUCGCCAUUUAAAGCGGUACGUGAGUUGGGUUCAGAACGUCGUGAGACAGUUCGGUCCCUAUCUGCCGUGGGUGUAGGAAUAUUGACAGGAUCUGUCCCUAGUACGAGAGGACCGGGAUGGACGUAUCUCUGGUGGAUCUGUUGUCCUGCCAAGGGCAUAGCAGAGUAGCUAUAUACGGAAUGGAUAACCGCUGAAGGCAUCUAAGCGGGAAACCAACCUGAAAACGAGUGUUCCCUAUCAGAGCCGUGGAAGACGACCACGUCGAUAGGACGGGUGUGGAAGUGCAGUAAUGCAUGAAGCUUACCGUUACUAAUAGCUCGAGCGACUUCUUCGU